rnacentral:misc_RNA from 1 species
AAGCUACUGGGGGAGCCGAAGCUCCCCCCCAAAUAGGUGCGUGCUUUGUUUUUAUUAUUGUGUCGGGCCUGUUGUUUUUGUUGUAGGCCCGUUUGCGGUAGCCCAAUUCGGGUACCAGGAGCAAACGGAUUGCUUUGGAUGCUGAUGCUGCCGUGAUCCAUCCUGGAUCCAAUCAGUGCGGGCUCUGCUUUAGUGCAGUU